UCCGUCAAAUGAAGUGCGCAGAUUGGUGAAGCAGCUUGUCAGGAAAUGGAAGGAAACUGUGGAUGAGUGGGUUAAGGUGAACAAACCUGAAGCAUCUUCACACCUCAUCGGUGCCAGAUUUCGGGUACUCUCCAAAUCCACGGAGAGAAUGUCUUAAUCAGAUUCUGAAAUUUGUGGUUGGUCAGUGUUUUUUGUUGCUUUCUUUAUGUUGUGCAUUUAGAUGACAUUAUUCUCAUGUUUUGUCUGUUAGAUGUGUGUGGUCUGGUGCAGAAAGGAACAUCUCAAAAUAUGAACCAAAGCCUAGACCACCUCAAUCUGUCCCUCGUAGAGAAACUCCAUCCAGACGACCACAAUCAGUUCCUAAAUCUGCUUCUGCUCCUCCUAUACUGACUUCUGAACUGAACUUUUUAUACAUACAAAUGCACAUUACGCAUCAUUGAUUUGUGUGCGUA